GACAGAGGUGCCGAGCGUUAGGCGGAAUCACUGGGCUUAAAGCGUGUGUAGGCGGCGGCGUAAGUACCUUGUGAAAUCCCACGCUCAACCGUGGAACUGCUCGGUAUACUGCGGUCGCUUGAGCCAGCUAGGGGCGACCGGAACAAACGGUGGAGCGGUGAAAUGCGUAGAUAUCGUUUGGAACGCCGAUGGUGAAAACAGGUCGCUGGGGCUGUGCUGACGCUGAGACGACGAAGCCAGGGGAGGCGAACGGG
rnacentral:rRNA from 1 species